AGAGUUUGAUCCUGGCUCAGGAUGAACGCUAGCUACAGGCUUAACACAUGCAAGUCGAGGGGCAGCAUGGUCUUAGCUUGCUAAGGCCGAUGGCGACCGGCGCACGGGUGAGUAACGCGUAUCCAACCUGCCUUACACUCUUGGACAGCCUUCUGAAAGGGAGAUUAAUACAAGAUGUUAUCAUGAGUAAGCAUUUUCGCAUGAUUAAAGGUUUACCGGUGUAAGAUGGGGAUGCGUUCCAUUAGAUAGUAGGCGGGGUAACGGCCCACCUAGUCUUCGAUGGAUAGGGGUUCUGAGAGGAAGGUCCCCCACAUUGGAACUGAGACACGGUCCAAACUCCUACGGGAGGCAGCAGUGAGGAAUAUUGGUCAAUGGACGAGAGUCUGAACCAGCCAAGUAGCGUGAAGGAUGAAGGUUCUAUGGAUUGUAAACUUCUUUUAUACGGGAAUAAACGAAUCCACGCGUGGAUUUUUGCAUGUACCGUAUGAAUAAGGAUCGGCUAACUCCGUGCCAGCAGCCGCGGUAAUACGGAGGAUCCGAGCGUUAUCCGGAUUUAUUGGGUUUAAAGGGAGCGUAGAUGGGUUGUUAAGUCAGUUGUGAAAGUUUGCGGCUCAACCGUAAAAUUGCAAUUGAUACUGGCAGUCUUGAGUACAGUUGAGGUAGGCGGAAUUCGUGGUGUAGCGGUGAAAUGCUUAGAUAUCACGAAGAACUCCGAUUGCGAAGGCAGCUUACUAACCUGUAACUGACAUUGAUGCUCGAAAGUGUGGGUAUCAAACAGGAUUAGAUACCCUGGUAGUCCACACGGUAAACGAUGAAUACUCGCUGUAGGCGAUAUACAGUCUGCGGCCAAGCGAAAGCAUUAAGUAUUCCACCUGGGGAGUACGCCGGCAACGGUGAAACUCAAAGGAAUUGACGGGGGCCCGCACAAGCGGAGGAACAUGUGGUUUAAUUCGAUGAUACGCGAGGAACCUUACCCGGGCUUAAAUUGCAACCGAAUAUGGCGGAAACGCUAUAGCUAGCAAUAGCGGUUGUGAAGGUGCUGCAUGGUUGUCGUCAGCUCGUGCCGUGAGGUGUCGGCUUAAGUGCCAUAACGAGCGCAACCCUUGCCGAUAGUUACUAACAGGUCAUGCUGAGGACUCUGUCGGGACUGCCAUCGUAAGAUGUGAGGAAGGUGGGGAUGACGUCAAAUCAGCACGGCCCUUACGUCCGGGGCUACACACGUGUUACAAUGGGGGGUACAGAGGGCUGCUACCACGCAAGUGGAUGCCAAUCCCAAAAACCUCUCUCAGUUCGGAUUGAAGUCUGCAACCCGACUUCAUGAAGCUGGAUUCGCUAGUAAUCGCGCAUCAGCCACGGCGCGGUGAAUACGUUCCCGGGCCUUGUACACACCGCCCGUCAAGCCAUGGGAGCCGGGGGUACCUGAAGUGCGUAACCGCAAGGAGCGCCCUAGGGUAAAACUGGUGACUGGGGCUAAGUCGUAACAAGGUAGCCG
rnacentral:rRNA from 1 species